ensembl:lncRNA
AAAAAGGGCCUGAUCACAAGCGUUUGCAUCUUAGAUCCUAGACAGCUUACUUAACAGCUCAGAGCCUCAGUUUCCUCAUCUCUAAGAUACAUAUGUGCUCAUGAUAAAAUACUAAGCAGGGUAAUUACACUAAGCGCUUUGCACACAUUAGAGCAUGUAAUCCACCCAACAUCGUGGGAGGGCUCAGUGUUUGUUUUCGCUAUUACUACACAUCACCUCCUCAUGCAGAAGCCCAGAGGGUGAAGUGGAUUCAAGAAGGGUUAUUCUGGUUGAAAAGAGCAGGGACACCACUUCUUUCUGUCUUAUCUUCUGUUGCCCCUUCCCCCAAGGCAACCUUAAGAACCCCUCUUUAGGACUCUAGUGCUCCUUGAAGUAUAGUUUGAAACUAUGCUUCUCAGCAUAUCCUCACUCACUGCACAGAUGAGAAAACUGAGACCCAGAGAGGGUAGGAUACUGGUUCAAGGUCACACACUCAGGGGCAGAGAUGGUUCUAUAACCCUGGAUUCCUGGCUCCCAACCGGGUUGUUGCUAAGGCAACUGGGAUCCCCAGGUCUUCCUGCUGCCUCAGAGGAGGUUGUGUGGGUGCCAGAACUCCCAGCUUGGAUAUGCUCCUUAGUCUUCCCAAAUCCAUUUGGAGGGGUUCAGGCUGUUCCUGCUUCCCCAACCCCUAAGGCAGAGAACUACCUGCUCCAUCAGAGCUCCUCAACUCUGCAGCCACAGAUGAUUCCUAAAUGAGUGAGCAUGGCUGUAUUCCAAGAAAUCUAGAUAUCCAGAGUUUCAAGAGAAGUCUGGAUUGUUCUGAAAGGAAAUAUGGAAGAACAAACAAACAAACAACAUAGACUGGGUCAAACAGGACCUGAGAAGGGGAGACUGGCUUAUGGACCAGCGGCUUGCCAUUCUGGGCUUUGGAGUGAGAGGGAAAACUUCUGAACCUGGGCGCAUGCUCCAAGGAUAGAUGGACACUAGGAAGAGGGGACUGAUGCCCACUGGAUAAACAAGGCCUAUAUUCCCAAAUAGUCCAUUUGCCUGAAAUACUUUGAGGAAAUCAUUGUUAAAGUCUAAGCAUAUUUGGUUAGAUUGCAGAACUUAAAUCUUCUCCUUUUUUUUUAAUUAAAAUUUUUUCUUAAAUUGGCAUUACAUAUAAUAAAGUUCACUGAUCUUAUUAAGUACAGUUCAGUGGAUUAAUUUUGUUGGUUCCUAAACUCAUGUAUAUGGAGUCAUACAGAAAAUGCUACUUGGGGUCUGGCUCGCUUCCCUCGACCUUGUCUGAGAUCAUUCAUGUCACUACGGGUAGCAG